GUUUGGCGUCCCUCGCCCAUUUCCUGUUGGGAAGGCCGUUGGUGUACAACAGAAACAAGAGGAUAUUAUCCGAACAUACCAGGCUUCAGCUAUCAUGAAGACUUGGAGUUUAUAUGCGUUGGUCAGCCCAUGCACAAUUUCCUAUCGAUGUCAAGGCACCCUGAAAAGCAGACACCGAUACAUCAGGAAUGAGGCUUCCUUCGCAUCAAGCCUGGGAUAAAUGAGCUGACUUUCGUCGUGAACCACAACUUUAGGCUGACUUCACUCGAAGAGGGACUGUGUGACACAGAGACACAUCAAGUAAUUUUAGAAACAAUUUAUCUAGAAUUUCAUUUGCUAAACCACUCUUUGUGAAAAGAAUUAAGAGGGUUUUCAAACUACUGAGUGAUGAUCAGUUGGAAGCAACAUUGUAUAUGGAAACUGAUACUACACCAAUGAGUGAACAUUUGAAAGCAGUUUACCAAAAAACUUAAAUAUAUUUUAUUUUAUUAUACACAUACAACUAUAUCAUUGUCUGUCAUUGGGAGCUGUCAAGUAAGACAAUUCAGAUUCCUUCCACAUUCUAUUAAAACCUUAGAUAAAGGAGUCUACUGUAUGAUAUUGUUUAUAGGGAGGGGUCUUGUGAGGCUCAUUCAUUACUGACAGCAAAACAGUUCAUUAGUGCCCUUGAUGUAGACAUCACAGCUAAGGCAUCAGAUAUUUUGAAAGCUAUUUAUUCAAUAUGAUGAUGAAGACUGGAAAACUACAUUGAAUUAUUAAAAUUUUUUUUUGUUAAAUAUUGCUGUAUGAAUACCAUAACAUUAUAUAAAGAAACUGACUUUUAUGUAAAAUUUCAACCUGUGUUCCAAGAUUUAAUAUGCUUUAAUUUUUUGUGUCUGUUAAUUGUUGAACAAUGUCAUAUUUAUUUAGAAUAAAAUAAUUAGUGGGGAAUAUUAUCAAAUGUAAUCAUGUAUUGGAGAAACAAUUUAAGCCCACUAAUAAGGUUCAGGUAUAUUAUAAGGGGUGAAAAAAUAAUGUUAACAGCUAUUCAUGUUUUACACAUAAGCACACAAACACACACCAUCAAAAUUAUUUUCAUGAAAUGUUUAGAUGUAAAAUUUUCAAGGGUUUUUCAGUAGUAUUUUCCAUAUACAUAUUGUGUUGCCCACAUUGAACACAUUUCAUAUUAAAAAUUUUUUUUUUGGUCGAUAGUAGUAUCCAUGACUAUCCAUUUAAACUCUAAUAAUCAUUUAUAACUUCACUGUACAAUAAUUGAGAGCCACUCGUUCUUUAAACCUCGUUCAGAGACGCCGAUAUUUCUUACGAUAAUUCUUGAAAUUUCUUGGUGUUUAAUUGUUCUUGUUUCUUAAUCGGAGUUUCGUUGGAAUAACGAUCGUUAGCCCGGGUUGCCGUCGUGCUACCACAUAAGCGGUUUCUGAGGACAGAGGAGUCUGCUGUCGCAUGGUCGCAGAGACAUUUAACGCCAAGUGGGCGCGCGUGGCAAUUACGCGACGAGUGCCCGUAAAGUUUGGAUCGGUGGCACUGCCCGAGAGUGCCACGUUUAUAAGGGGCUUCGACAGUUACCCCAGAUAGGCCGCAAACGGUGCGGAGACUUGAGGCAAUCCGUUGGCCUUCCGCGGUGUAUAGAAUGGAAUGGUAUACACCAUAUUGUAUGGAAACUUGUCGCGACCGCGUUGCACCCGGUACACACUUAUUAUCGGGUAUGCUUGCCUGAUGAGGUCGUCCUUGACUAGCUCGGCAUCGAGCUUCUUGGGUACUCCGCGGAGUUCGCGUUCCUCCUGGAGCGCAUAAGUGUUGAUAGCUUAGGCGCUCCUUUCGGAGGUGGGCUGUCAGCGCCCUAUGGUCGUCCGGUGUGACCACCUUAAUUUGUAUUGCGAUGUUGCGCGCAUGGACGAAGUUCACGUUUUGUGCCUUGCAGACACGGGAUACGCGAUCCCACGCGGUCCUAUCUUGUAGGAUGACCGGCGGCAGCGCGGCAAUUAUGCGGACGGGCGCGGGCUUGGGGCGUGGCGAUGGGGUUGCGCGGCGGGCGUGAUUACGGUCUUAGGCCGCGACGCGUUCGCGGCCUUGGGUUGUUUCGGCGCCGUGGACGGUUCCACAGCGCGGGAGCGUUUUUUGCCGCGCGCGGCGGACUCGUACUCCAUUUCCGGCUCGAUCUCGGAGCCGGAGCUAGCGGCCUCGGAGGACACGAUCGAUGCGGGCGGGAAAGCAGUGACUCGAGAAUCGUCGGGACAUUCGCGGCGGCGGCGAUCGGUGCGUGGGGCUGGGUCGACAAGCUGGCCUUGUAGGCCCUAAACUGACUCAUAAUGUCCGGGCAAAAUUCUCGGACGAAUUGGACGAACAUCGCGGGGUUGUCGUCCGCCAUGUUGAUGUCGGUUGCCCAGGGGGGGCGUUCCCGGGCAAAAUGUAACUCGCCGAAAGGCGAGUCCCCUGAAUAGGAAUUGACCCCUGCGCUGUACUAGCCAGCAGUUAAUUGCACGUUCAGCGCUUGUUGUGGCAUAUUCUCACAACCUAUUGGGGCCCCACCUUCCCAUAUUUUCCACCCCAAUCCCAGCUGAUUGCCGUUUUCACGGCAUAGGCACUCCCCCUCCUGCAAAUGAACUGCUGGCUGGUAUAGCGCAGGGGGUCAAUUCCCACUCAGGGGAUUCGCCUUUCGGCGAGUUUUUUUAAGUCCCGGGGACGCCCCCCCUGGGCACCUCCAACGAUGUGUGAUGAAGACGACCCCGCGAUGUUCGCGAAAUUCGUCCGGGAAUUUUGCCCGGACAUAAUGUCCAAAUUCCGGGCCUAUAAGGCCAGCCUUAUAACGAACGCACCGAUCGCCGCCGCCGCGAAUGUACUCGAGUCGCCGCUUGCCCCUCCCCCAACACUGCGCCCGCGUCAAUCGCGUCAUCCGCGGCCUCGAGCUCCGGCUCCGGCUCCGACACCGAGUCGGAAAUGGACUUCGAGACGUCCGACAGCCAACACGGAACCUCGGAUGGGUUCACGACCGUAGCGCGCGGCAAAAAACGCGCCCGCGCUGUGGAAUCGUCCACAGCACCCAAACAAUCAAAGGCCGCAAACGCGUCGCGGCCUAAGACCGUCGUAACUCCGACUCACCCCGCCGCGCUCCGAGCCCGCACCCGUCCACAAAAUUCCCGCGCCGCCGCCGUUUAUCCUUCAGGAUAGGACCGCGUGGGAUUGCGUAUCCCGUGCCUGCAAGGCACAAAACGUGAACUUCGUCCAUGCGCGUAACAUCGCAAUACAAAUAGGUGGCCACACCGGACGACCAUAGGGCGCUGACGCCCACCUCCGAAAGGAGCGCCUAAGCUAUCACACUAAUGCACUCCAGGAGGAAUGCGAACUCCGCGGAGUACCCAAGAAGCUCGAUGCCGAGCUAGUCAAGGACGACCUCAUCAGGCAAGCAUACCCGAUAAUAAGUGUGCACCGGGUGCACAGCGGUCGCGACAAGUUUCCAUACAAUAUGGUACCUACUCGUCGCGUUCGAACCCACCGCGGAAGGCAAACGGAUCGCCUCAGUCUCCGUACCGUUUGCGGUCUAUCUGGGGUCACCGUCGAGGCCCCCCACAAAAAAGGCACUCCCGGGCAGUGCCAUAGGUGCCAGCUCUGUGGCCAUUCCGCACGCAAUUGCCACGCGCGUCCGCGGUGCGUAAAAUGCCUCGGCGAGAGCCGACCGGUCGCGGGUCAAAGAAACCACGACCGAACCGCCGAGCUGUGCUCUGCCAAAAGCAGGGUCACACGGCCAACUACCGCGGAUGCCCCAAGGCCCCGCGGAAGUGCCCGGCCAACGCGCGCCCCAAAACCGCCGGCUCUAAGACUUUUGAGUCCCGCGCGCCGAAACCUGCUUUCGUGGCGGCUCCGGUGCCCACCGUCUUCGCGUGGGCUAAACCGCUGCCGCUCACGAUGGCAGGUGAGCCAUCGGCACCCCAACCCCUGCUCGCGCCCCGCGUCGUUCCCGCGCCCGUUUAACGUUUAACGAGACCACUUUAUAACUUUCCCAAUUGCUUGUUUAUGUUACUUUCCAUUGCAUUAAAAUGUUCUGUUUAAUUCUACGUUGCCUACGGUUUUAUGAUUUAAUAAUAAUAUUUUAACAUCUUGAUUAUUGAAACCAUUUAUAAUGUCAUUAUUGUUUUAUUUUUAACACUUAUUUCUGUUUUAAUGAGCGAGUUUAUCGCAUUUGUUAUUCGUCUGUACAAAGUCUUAGUUUUCUAUGGGUAGAAUCACCAGUCUUCGCAGGACUCUGCCCGAGGUUAUAAUGUCUACGUUAUCCAGCUGUUUCGUGUGACGGUGUCGUACUCUUUAAGCGUUCCUGACGUGGCUACCGGACCACCUAGCAAUAAUUAGUUCGGGAUCGUUCGCAGUGUCCGAGACGUGGGUGUGUGGUCGACUUUUAACUGUAAAUUCCACUUCUUGACUUCCGGUAUUGCUGUUCACGCCAUUUUUCAAAGUCCGUGAAUGGUGCUCCGGAAAGGAUGGACAUCCAGGCGAUCGUCUGUUUUGCCGCUUCUUCUGCUGUUGCGUCGUCGAUGGCUUAGCGCGAUUCCAUUACCGUUCCUUUCGGGAUGGUGCCGUUGUCCGACCUAUCCACGUCGAACAACCUUGGAGGGUUGCUCGCUCGGUAUCGCUACUUAUAAUCCCUUUAAGGUAUGGGACACGAGCUCACUACUCGAGUUCAAUGAAUUCGGUGACCUAGGGUUGGAUGCUGGUGGUAGCUUCCAGUAGCAAGUACACUAGUUGUAGAUGCGUAGGAAGGGCGUCGACUGUGACUGGUGGUGACGAGUCGAGCAGCGUGUUGUCGCAGUGUGUCGCUGAGGCGGAGGUUUUGCUCGUGAGGGCGGGCACAAACGUCAUCCUCCUAUGAAGUCGCGCGUCUCGGGGGGGGGGGGGGUGCGAGGUCGAGUUCACGGACGGACGCGGUGGAAUGCUAUUAAGUUGUUGAGGCGAGACGCCGGAGCUUGCCGCUGGUGGCAGACCAGGAGCCCAAGCCGGCAGGAGCAACGUGCUUAGUCCGAGGAGUCCUCAUGGACGCAGUAGUGACGGGAGGCAGCCAUUUGAAGUGCGUACUAUUAGAGUGGGUCCGAGCACCGGUGCACACGACUUCACUCGACGGCUGUCUGAGUACAAGUUCAGCUGCUACAUAUUACUGGAGCUUACUUUGCACACACACACACACACACAUAUAUAAAUUAAAAUCUGUCAGCAAUUGACGGGGUUAACUAAUUACUAAUUACUACGUUACUUUACUCUUAUAGUAUUUAAUUUUAAAUUAAAAUUAGAAUCCGAUAGCGCUAACAGCAAUAUACAGUUAAGUAAAAAAACUUAAACCUAAAAAUAAUAACUCAAUGAAAUGUCAUCAUUACUUCUAUCUAUUCCAAAAACUGUCUCUUUAUGUUAUUAGUUAAUGUAAUAAAAAUGCGAAAUAUUAACUUAUGUGAUGUAGUAUUUUUUCUAAACUCAUGCUAAGUGGGGUGAGACGAUGAGAUGCAACACGGUUUGAUGUUAAUUGUGACAAAUUUAUAAACAAAUGUUAUGGGAAAGAAAAUUUUUGUUUGCUAACGCUUCAUUUCACUACUAAUUAACCUGUCAAUUAUUCGUUCUGGUGCUUGAAUAAAAUGGAUUGGACUAAACAUAUUAGUGUUGGAAAUUGUUGUUGAAUGCAGUGUCUUAUAUUUAUUUAUAAAUGAAUGUCCAUUCGAAGAAAAUUGUGAUAAUCUCAACAUUAAAAUAAUUCAUAAAAAACUGAUUAUAGAUAAUGUGACUGUUUUCCUUCCUUCAAAUCACAUACUUUAACUGUUACAUAAAUAGUUAAUUACCUACGUAGAUAAUUAGGAAAGACGAAACGUAAACACGGUAUUAUUAUUUCUAUUAAUUUUCUUGGGUUUUUUUUUGUUAUUGCUUGAAUAAUAUUGUAAGAGUUUGUCAAAUCUUCUAUUAAAUGUUUUAAAAGUU